GACGGAGGGUGCAAGCGUUGUUCGGAAUUACUGGGCGUAAAGGGCGCGUAGGCGGUCUGUUAAGUUCGGUGUGAAAGCCCCCGGCUCACCUGGGGAACUGCGCCGGAAACCGACAGACUCGAGUACCGGAGAGGAGGGUGGAAUUCCUGGUGUAGCGGUGAAAUGCGUAGAUAUCAGGAGGAACACCGGUGGCGAAGGCGGCCCUCUGGACGGAUACUGACGCUGAGGCGCGAAAGCGUGGGGGAUCAAACAGG
rnacentral:rRNA from 1 species